UUGGAGGGCAAGUCUGGUGCCAGCAGCCGCGGUAAUUCCAGCUCCAAUAGCGUAUAUUAAAGUUGUUGCAGUUAAAAAGCUCGUAGUUGAAUUUCGGGAUCAAUUUAUUGGUCGUGCUAUUGUACGUACUGGUAUUAUUGAUUCCUACCUUCUGACGAACCAUGAUGUCAUUAAUUUGGUGUCAUGGGAAAUCAGGACUGUUACUUUGAAAAAAUUAGAGUGUUUAAAGCAGGCUCACGCUUGAAUACAUUAGCAUGGAAUAACGAAAUAGGACGUUUGAUUCUAUUUUGUUGGUUUCUAGGAUCGACGUAAUGAUUAAUAGGGAUAGUUGGGGGCAUUAGUAUUCAAUUGUCAGAGGUGAAAUUCUUGGAUUUAUUGAAGACUAACUACUGCGAAAGCAUUUGCCAAGGAUGUUUUCAUUAAUCAAGAACGAAAGUUAGGGGAUCGAAGACGAUCAGAUACCGUCGUAGUCUUAACCAUAAACUAUGCCGACUAGGGAUCGGAUGAUGUUAAUUUUUUAAUGACUCAUUCGGCGCCUUACGGGAAAC
rnacentral:rRNA from 1 species